UGAGAUUAUUGAUAUUUCUCCCUGCAAUCUUGAUUGGAGCUUGUGCUUUGUCCAGACUGGCAUUUCACAUGAUAUACUCCGCAUAUAAGUUAAAAGACAGUAUACAACCUUGAUGUACUCGUUUCCCUAUUUGGAACCAGUCUGUUGUUCCAUGUCUAGUUCUAACUGUUGCUUCUUGACCUGCAUACAGAUUUCUCAGGAGGCAGGGACUGCAAGGAGAUCAAACCAAUCAAUCCUAAAGGAAAUCAACCCUGAAUAUUCACUGGAAGGAUUGUUGUUGAAGCUCUAAUACUUUGGCUAUCUGAUAGGAAGAACUGACCCAUUGGAAAAGACCCUGAUGCUGGGAAAGAUUGAGGGAAGGAAGAGAAGGGGACGACAGAGGAUGAGAUGGUUGGAUGGUAUUACCGACUCAAUGGACAUGAGUUUGAGCAGACUCUGGGAAAAUGUGCAGGACAGAGGAGCCUGGCGUGCUGCAGUCCAUGGGGUCACAAAGAGUCAGAUAGGACUUAGCAAUGGACCAACAACAACAUAAUUCCUGUGUUGAAACCUUCUACCUCCCGUGUCAUGGUUUUAGAGGGUGGGGCCUUUGAGAGGUUGGAGGAGGUGAUUAGGAUUCUAUGGGAUUAGUGUCCUUAUGAGAAUCAGGAGAGAACUUGCCUCAUUCUGCUCUGUACUGUGCCUGGAUACAUUAAGUCAGCAGUCUGCAACCCAGAAGAUGGCCCUCACCAGAACGUGACAGUGCUGUCAUCCUGACCUUGGACUCCUAACCUUCAAAAUGUUUCCAAGUUCAAGCUCGUACUGCUUGUCGCAUAAGACAAUAAAUUAAAAGACGAGUUUGGGGGGCAAGGAAUAUAGACUUUAUAUGAAAAAUCAACAGACAAAGACGGUUUACUAGUGUCCCAAAGAAUAUCUUACUUGAGUUUGAACUCAAACUUCUUUUAUACUAAAAGGGAUGGUAUGAAGUAUGGCUGGUUGUUGCAACUUCUUGAUUGAGGAAUCCUUAGUUUUUGCAGCUAUCCAAAGUCUGUUCAUAAUGUUCGUAUAAAUUUCCAAUAAGGCAAUUUUUAAAAAUUAAUUAUUUUUUGGCUAUACCUCACAGCUUGUAGGAUCUUAGUUCACUGACCAGAGACUGAACCAAAGGCUUGGUAGUGAAAGAGUGAAGUCCUAACCACUGGACAUCAGGGAAGUCCCAGCAACUAUUUUCUGUUCUGCAACUUUUUAUCUCUAAAAUGUUAAACCUUUAAAGGUCAGAGCCUUAAGAAGGGGCUGUCAUAUAUAUUUCAGGUUAUAGGCAAUAUUCUUUACAAAGAUGCAGGGCCAGCAUAACUAAGAACAGGCAACAGAGCACAAGGGUGCGAGCAGAAGGAAGAGAUUCCAGCAUGGAGUCAGGUUAGUUCUCUGUGAUAAGAACUGUGAGAAAUUAAUUUUGGUUGUUUAAGCCCCAGCAGUGUAUGGUAUUCUGUUACAGCAACCUGAACUGACCAAGACAGGGAUUGGCACCUUCUACUUUCUGCAUUUUGGAAUACUAGCUCUUAGUUCCCUGAGAUAACAUGUAAGAAGAUGGACUACCCUGCAGGAAGAGGACACAUUUCAAAGCCCAGGGACUGCAUAGAGAGGAGGGGGCCCCAGUUGAGGCCAGCCUCCCUGCAAUCCCUGCCCAAGUGCCAAGC
ensembl:lncRNA